GGUUGGGUGGCAGAGUGGCUAUGCGUCCGACUGCAGAUCGGGGGUUACGUGAGUUCGAUUCUCACCCCUGCAU
rfam:Methanohalobium evestigatum Z-7303, complete genome.